rnacentral:rRNA from 1 species
UCGAGAAUCUUUCGCAAUGGGCGAAAGCCUGACGAAGCGACGCCGUGUGAGCGAAGAAGGCCUUCGGGUUGUAAAGCUCUUUCGCAAGGGAACAAGAACGGUUGGAUAACACCCAGCCAAUUUGAUGGUACUUUGUAAAGAAGCACCGGCUAACUCCGUGCCAGCAGCUGCGGUAAUACGGAGGGUGCAAGCAUUGAUCGGAAUUACUGGGCGUAAAGGGCGCGUAGGCGGCUUAGAAAGUCGGAUGUGAAAUUCCGGGGCUCAACCCCGGAGCUGCAUUUGAAACUCCUGAGCUAGAGUUCAGUUAGGGUAAACGGAAUUCCACGUGUAGCGGUGAAAUGCGUAGAUAUGUGGAAGAACACCGGUGGUGAAGACGGUUUACUGGGCUGAGACUGACGCUGAGGCGCGAAAGCAUGGGGAGCAAACA